rnacentral:rRNA from 1 species
UACAGAGGUGGCAAGCGCUGUUCGGAAUUACUGGGCGUAAAGGGCGCGUAGGCGGUCUUAUAAGUCUCGUGUGAAAUCCCUCGGCUUAACUGAGGAACUGCACGGGAUACUGCAAGACUUGAGAUCGGGAGAGGGAAGCGGAAUUCCGGGUGUAGCGGUGAAAUGCGUAGAUAUCCGGAGGAACACCGGUGGCGAAGGCGGCUUCCUGGACCGAAACUGACGCUGAGGCGCGAAAGCUAGGGGAGCAAACGGG